CCCAUUACAAAAACGUUUGAUUUGAAGUUCCAGCCUCUUCCAACUUUGUUCCAAGUGUUGCUUUAAAAUGGUUUAUUGUACUUUUAUUUACUCUUUGAGCACAUUGCUCACAUCUCCUGGCCCUUGGAGGCAGCUUGGUGUGAAUGAUGUUCAGGUGAGACAUUACUACAUUGCAUUUGCUAACAUUUGCUAUUUUCUUGCCAUUCUUUUAUUAAAACACUGCAAAGAUGCUCCACCAACUGUGGCGUGUUUGUUUUGAUGGUAAGAACUACUCAGUAUGUUAUAUCGAUGACCUCUAUAAAAUGUUUUAUCUGCAUUUAAAACACACUCUUUGUAUUGAAAAACUGUAUCCUGACAGAAUGUGCAUGACAUUAUAUUAACCAGUAUCUCUGUACAUUGUAAUGGGGGCCAGUUGUGAUUUCAGUGAGGUUUUGUGCAAAUUGCGACACGUUGUGCUUGACUGUAGCGAUGAAGGUAUUAUUUUUGGAAACAUAUUUUAAUCUUCUGCAUUUCCUUCUUCACAGGAAAACAUGCUGCAGAUUAGAAGAUGGUGGUGUCUUGUUCUGCUGCCGUAAGCGCCCUCAGUAUCACACUUUUAAACCAGAUUCUUUUAAAUCACGUUUUACUGUAUUCACUGUCAUCUGACCUGCAUGAAUGUUUUCAUUGUGAAUGUUUGUUGUCAUUAAAUCACCACGAUCUAAAGAAGAGAGAUUGCAGCAAAGAAAAAGGCAACGAGAGCAGAAAAAUUACAGGAUGUGGCUGAAGUCCCCCUGAAAAUGUUUAGGCUUUCAGAAUCUGCCCCUGAAGCAUCAGAUCAGGCUGAGAACAGGACUGGGAACAGGAAACGGGGUAUAUUGCCUGAGAUGGGUAGUCUAAUUUCAGUGUUUUCUGCAAUCUCCGAGCCUUUACUUAAACAACUGUUUUCUUUAUUUUUGUUUAGGAGAAUCCUUUGGUCAGGGAUGCAAUGGCAGCAGCCCGGUGGUGUGGGACCAGAACGUUCAAGGGAAAAUUUCCCUUCUUCAAGUUGUUACCCUGGCCAAGGAGCAACGCGUGAGGGCAGUGGAACUCCUUUAUGUCUGUGAUGGCCAGGAAGAAGAGGAGACCGCUGAUCUCAGAGAACCGUUCCUUUUUCUUUUUAGUCUGCAGGAAGACUAUGAGACAUUCUGUCAAGAAAUCAUUGACAGGAGAAACAUGAAGGUGUUUUGUGCUUUUGACAGAAAAGAAUAAAGUUGUGUUCAACGGUG